rnacentral:rRNA from 1 species
UACAGAGGUCUCAACCGUUGUUCGGAUUCAUUGGGCGUAAAGGGUGCGUAGGCGGUCGGGUAAGUCGGAUGUGAAAUCCCAGGGCUCAACCCUGGAACUGCAUUCGAUACUGCCUGGCUAGGGUACUGGAGAGGAGACUGGAAUUUACGGUGUAGCAGUGAAAUGCGUAGAUAUCGUAAGGAAGACCAGUGGCGAAGGCGAGUCUCUGGACAGUUACCGACGCUGAGGCACGAAAGUCAGGGGAGCAAACGGG